GAUGAGCGCUGGCGGCGUGCCUAAUACAUGCAAGUCGAGCGAACAGACGAGGAGCUUGCUCCUCUGACGUUAGCGGCGGACGGGUGAGUAACACGUGGAUAACCUACCUAUAAGACUGGGAUAACUUCGGGAAACCGGAGCUAAUACCGGAUAAUAUAUUGAACCGCAUGGUUCAAUAGUGAAAGACGGUUUUGCUGUCACUUAUAGAUGGAUCCGCGCUGCAUUAGCUAGUUGGUAAGGUAACGGCUUACCAAGGCAACGAUGCGUAGCCGACCUGAGAGGGUGAUCGGCCACACUGGAACUGAGACACGGUCCAGACUCCUACGGGAGGCAGCAGUAGGGAAUCUUCCGCAAUGGGCGAAAGCCUGACGGAGCAACGCCGCGUGAGUGAUGAAGGUCUUCGGAUCGUAAAACUCUGUUAUUAGGGAAGAACAAAUGUGUAAGUAACUAUGCACGUCUUGACGGUACCUAAUCAGAAAGCCACGGCUAACUACGUG
rnacentral:rRNA from 1 species